GUGGGGAAUAUUGGACAAUGGGCGAAAGUCUGAUCCAGCCAUGCCGCGUGUGUGAAGAAGGUCUUCGGAUUGUAAAGCACUUUAAGUUGGGAGGAAGGGCAGUAAGUUAAUACCUUGCUGUUUUGACGUUACCAACAGAAUAAGCACCGGCUAACUUCGUGCCAGCAGCCGCGGUAAUACGAAGGGUGCAAGCGUUAAUCGGAAUUACUGGGCGUAAAGCGCGCGUAGGUGGUUCAGCAAGUUGGAGGUGAAAUCCCCGGGCUCAACCUGGGAACUGACUCCAAAACUACUGAGCUAGAGUACGGUAGAGGGUAGUGGAAUUUCCUGUGUAGCGGUGAAAUGCGUAGAUAUAGGAAGGAACACCAGUGGCGAAGGCGACUACCUGGACUGAUACUGACACUGAGGUGCGAAAGCGUGGGGAGCAAACAGGAUUAGAUACCCUUGUAGUCC
rnacentral:rRNA from 1 species